rnacentral:rRNA from 1 species
CCGGAUGAACGCUGGCGGUAUGCGUAACACAUGCAAGCGAACGAAGUUUUUCGGAACUUAGUGGCGGACGGGUGAGUAACGCGUGAGAAUCUGCCUUAAGGAUUGGGACAACAGUGGGAAACCGCUGCUAAUACCAAAUAUGCCUUUUAGUGAAACGGGUAAAACCGCCUUAAGAUGAGCUCGCGUCUGAUUAGCUAGUAGGUGUGGUAAGAGCGCACCUAGGCGACGAUCAGUAGCUGGUCUGAGAGGACGACCAGCCACACUGGGACUGAGACACGGCCCAGACUCCUACGGGAGGCAGCAGUGAGGAAUUUUCCGCAAUGGGCGAAAGCCUGACGGAGCAAUACCGCGUGAGGGAGGAAGGUUCUUGGAUUGUAAACCUCUUUUCUCAGAGAAGAAUAAUGACGGUAUCUGAGGAAUAAGCAUCGGCUAACUCCGUGCCAGCAGCCGCGGUAAUACGGAGGAGGCAAGCGUUAUCCGGAAUUAUUGGGCGUAAAGCGUCCGCAGGUGGCUAUUCAAGUCUGCCGUCAAAGACCGGGGCUUAACCCUGGAAAGGCGGUGGAAACUGAAAGGCUAGAGAGAGGUAGGGGUAGAGGGAAUUCC